rnacentral:rRNA from 1 species
UACGUAGGGUGCGAGCGUUGUCCGGAAUUAUUGGGCGUAAAGAGCUUGUAGGCGGUCUGUCGCGUCUGCUGUGAAAAUCCGGGGGCUCAACCCUCGAAUGCCGGUGGAUACUGUCGGGCUAGAGUGCGGAAGAGGCGAGUGGAAUUCCUGGGUGUAGCGGUGAAAUGCGCAGAUAUCAGGAAGAACACCAAUGGCGAAGGCAGCUCUCUGGGGACGGUA